rnacentral:rRNA from 1 species
GACGAACGCUGGCGGCGUGCUUAACACAUGCAAGUCGAGCGGUAAGGCCCCUUCGGGGGUACACGAGCGGCGAACGGGUGAGUAACACGUGAGCAAUCUGCCCUUCACUUUGGGAUAACUCUGGGAAACGAGAGCUAAUACCGAAUACGACCACUUCAGGCAUCUGAUGGUGGUGGAAAGUUCCGGCGGUGAAGGAUGAGCUCGCGGCCUAUCAGCUAGUUGGUGGAGUAACGGCCCACCAAGGCUUCGACGGGUAGCCGGCCUGAGAGGGUGACCGGCCACACUGGGACUGAGACACGGCCCAGACUCCUACGGAGGCAGCAGUGGGAAUAUUGGACAAUGGGCGAAAGCCUGAUCCAGCAACG